rnacentral:misc_RNA from 1 species
CGCGGCGGCGGCUCCAUGCAAAUUGCAUCGAUCUGUUGUCCGACAUUCCUCCUCAGUUAUUUGUCCCGGUGCCUGUGCCUGUGGACUUGUCGAUGUGGCUCCUGUGUUGGCUACCCAAUGUGUGGCACUCGUUUGACCGUCGUGUCUCAUCUCCCUACGGUGGCCCCAUGAGGGUCGUCGGGGGAGCUCGAAGAGGCCCUGGUGUUCCCAGAGUCUGUUGUUGUCGACAUGACAGCUUGACUUUGGCGCGUUAGGUACCUCUGUGUCUUCGGAUUCGGUGCUCCGUAAUGGCCCUUGGUGCUCGUUCACUUUGUGCCAUAUUUUGACCAUUUUCGUUGAAAUGACGCUCGUUGUCUGCUCCUUCUCGGCAGUGCCUCCGGUGCUGUCUUGUCGGUCGGGCCACGACGUCUUCGAGGGAUGUUACCUGGUUGAUCCUGCCAGUAGCCAUAUGCUUG